rnacentral:rRNA from 1 species
GAUGAACGCUGGCGGCGUGCCUAAUACAUGCAAGUCGAGUGAACAGACGAGGAGCUUGCUCCUCUGACGUUAGCGGCGGACGGGUGUGUCACACGUGGAUAACCUACCUAUCAGACUGGGAUAACUUCGGGAAACCGGAGCUAAUCCCGGAUAAUAUAUUGAACCGUAUGGUUCAAUAGUGAAAGACGGUUUUGCUGUCACUUAUAGAUGGAUCCGCGCCGCAUUAGCUAGUUGGUAGGGUCACGGCCUACCAAGGCAACGAGGCGUAGCCGACCUGAGAGGGUGAUCGGCCACACUAGAACUGAGACACGGACCAGACUCCUACGAGAGGCAGCAGUAGGGAAUCGUCCGCAAUGGGCGAAAGCCUGACGGAGCAACGCCGCGUGAGUGAUGAAGGUCUUCGGAUCGUAAAACUCUGUUAUUAGGGAAGAACAAAUGUGUAAGUAACUAUGCACGUCUUGACGGUACCUAAUCAGAAAGCCACGGCUAACUACGUG